ensembl:snRNA U6 U6 spliceosomal RNA
GUGCUGGCUUCAACCGCACAUGUACCGAAAUUGUGACGAUGUGGAGAAGAUUAGCGUGGUCCCUGAAGAAGAAAAAUGCAAAUUUGGGAAGCGUUCCACACUUCU